GCGCUGUCCCCCGGAGGCGUCUGGGUGUGCGGAGCGCGCGCGCGCGCGGCUCGGAGGCGCACCUGUGAGGUGUCCCUGAGGAGAGGGAGGUGGGUGCGCGGCGCCCGCGGCCUGGGGCGCUGACUCCCCUCACUUGGAGGCGCCCUGCGUCCGGCAGAGGAGGCGAGCAUCCCGCUCAGGUGAUGAGGAACCCCUCGCGCACCCAGCGCAGAAGGCUGCUGCCGCCGGACGCCUCCAUUGUUUGACCACAACAAGGGCCGGAUUCUCACCCAGCAGGAUCCUAAGGCCUUUGUAGUCCUUCAGCCACUGUGGGCCCUGCCUCUGCCUGUUCUUCUGGAAUGUCUUGGGGGUUUUGAUCCUGUCACUGUGAUCGGUGUUGCUGGAAGUCGGUCCAGGAGCUUUUUGGAUAAUCCACCUCAUGACUGGAAAACAACGAAGAAACCCAGUAGCUUCUUCGCCGUGUGGAUUCAGACCCCGGGAGCCCAGGCCUGCACCUGGGCAGCUGCUCCCUGCACGUGGCCGGACAUAUGGAAUAUGGAGCCCCGCUGCCUUGGAGUCAGAGAGCUGCCAAGUAGAAUUUGCAUGUAAUGCUGCUAUCAUUUUCAAUUGCUCUCCCAAUAAAACAGGCCCUGGAGCCGAGGUGAAUGCCGUAGAAGGCAUUUUUUCCACUGGGUGUGGGUCCAGAAUAAAUAAUCAAAAG
rnacentral:lncRNA from 1 species